GACGAACGCUGGCGGCGUGCUUAACACAUGCAAGUCGAACGGAAAGGCCCUGCUUUUGUGGGGUGCUCGAGUGGCGAACGGGUGAGUAACACGUGAGUAACCUGCCCUUGACUUUGGGAUAACUUCAGGAAACUGGGGCUAAUACCGGAUAGGAGCUCCUGCUGCAUGGUGGGGGUUGGAAAGUUUCGGCGGUUGGGGAUGGACUCGCGGCUUAUCAGCUUGUUGGUGGGGUAGUGGCUUACCAAGGCUUUGACGGGUAGCCGGCCUGAGAGGGUGACCGGCCACAUUGGGACUGAGAUAGGGCCCAGACUCCUACGGGAGGCAGCGGUGGGGAAUAGUGCACAAUGGGCGGAAGCCUGAUGCAGCAACGCCGCGUGCGGGAUGACGGCCUUCGGGUUGUAAACCGCUUUCGCCUGUGACGAAGCGGGAGUGACGGUAAUGGGUAAAGAAGCACCGGCUAACUACGUG
rnacentral:rRNA from 1 species